rnacentral:rRNA from 1 species
UACGAAGGGGGCUAGCGUUGCUCGGAAUCACUGGGCGUAAAGGGUGCGUAGGCGGGUUUUUAAGUCAGAGGUGAAAUCCUGGAGCUCAGCUCCAGAACUGCCUUUGAUACUGAGAAUCUUGAGUACGGGAGAGGUGAGUGGAACUGCGAGUGUAGAGGUGAAAUUCGUAGAUAUUCGCAAGAACACCAGUGGCGAAGGCGGCUCACUGGCCCGUAACUGACGCUGAGGCACGAAAGCGUGGGGAGCAAACAGG